UACGUAGGUGACGAGCGUUAUCCGGAAUUACUGGGCGUAAAGCGCACGCAAGCGGUCUGACAAGUCUGGCGUGAAAUCCUCUGGCUUAACCAGGGGCGGUCGCUGGAGACUGUUGGGCUUGAGGCGAUGAGAGGGGUGCAGAAUUCCCGGUGUAGUGGUGGAAUGCGUAGAGAUCGGGAGGAAUACCAGUGGCGAAAGCGGCACCCUGGCGUCGGCCUGACGCACAUGUGCGAAAGCGUGGGGAGCGAACGGG
rnacentral:rRNA from 1 species